GACGAACCGUGCGAACGUUGUUCGGAAUCACUGGGCUUAAAGGGCGCGUAGGCGGACCACCAAGUCCGGGGUGAAAUCCUCCGGCUUAACCGGAGAAUUGCCUGGGAUACUGGUGGUCUUGAGGGAGGUAGGGGCACGCGGAACUUCCGGUGGAGCGGUGAAAUGCGUUGAUAUCGGAAGGAACGCCGGUGGCGAAAGCGGCGUGCUGGCCCUCUUCUGACGCUGAGGCGCGAAAGCCAGGGGAGCGAAC
rnacentral:rRNA from 1 species